GAUGAACGCUAGCUACAGGCUUAACACAUGCAAGUCGAGGGGCAGCAUGAAAGGAACUUCGGUUCUUUUUGAUGGCGACCGGCGCACGGGUGCGUAACGCGUAUCGAACCUGCCUCAUACUCGGGGAUAGCCUUGCGAAAGUAAGAUUAAUACCCGGCGGUCUCGGAUGGCCGCUUCACUGUUCGAGUGAAGAUUUACUGGUAUGAGAUGGCGAUGCGUCCCAUUAGCUAGUUGGUGAGGUAACGGCUCACCAAGGCAUCGAUGGGUAGGGGUUCUGAGAGGAAGGUCCCCCACAUUGGAACUGAGACACGGUCCAAACUCCUACGGGAGGCAGCAGUGAGGAAUAUUGGUCAAUGGACGAAAGUCUGAACCAGCCAAGUAGCGUGCAGGACGACGGCCCUCUGGGUUGUAAACUGCUUUUAGUUGGGAAUAAAAAGAGGGACGUGUCCCUUAUUGUAUGUACCAUCAGAAAAAGGACCGGCUAAUUCCGUGCCAGCCGCCGCCGUAA
rnacentral:rRNA from 1 species